GGUUUCGUGGCCCAAUGGCAAGGCGUCUGACUACGAGAGAGAGCUCAGCAAUGAAGUCCUUCAAUCGCAAUCAGGAGAUUCUGGGUUCGACCCCCAGCGAGAUCA